rnacentral:pre_miRNA from 1 species
AAAAAGGCAAACCCUAAAUUUCCGUGCCAACGUUUGACUCUCCGUCUUAUAUAAAAUUUUUUUAUAAUUAGUAUUUUCAUUGUUGUUAGAUGAUAAAACAUGAUUAAUACUUUAUGCAUGACUUAUCUUUUUAAUUUUUUUAAAUAAGACGGACGGUCAAACGUUGGGCACGAAAAUCAGGGUUUGUCUUUUU